AAUCAAGGUGAGGACUCUGAAUCAAUUUACUUACUUUCCACAUUUGCUGAUACGGGUUUGUUUCUCCUGCGUCUCAUUAACAUGCACAUGGAGAUGAAAACUAGUAUGAGAACGCCAACAACUGAAGCAAUCACGAUUAUUACAGUUGGAG